rnacentral:rRNA from 1 species
UUUGUUCCUUAAAUAGGGACUUGUAUGAACGGCCACACGAGGGCUUUACUGUCUCUUACUUCCAAUCCGUGAAAUUGACCUCCCCGUGAAGAGGCGGGAAUAUAACAAUAAGACGAGAAGACCCUAUGGAGCUUUAAUUAACCGACCCAAAGAGACCCCACUAACUAACCGACAGGAACAACAAAUCUCUCCAUGGGCCGACAAUUUAGGUUGGGGUGACCUCGGAGAAUAAAAUAACCUCCGAGUGAUUUAAAUCUAGACUAACCAGUCAAAAGUAUUACAUCACUUAUUGAUCCAAAAAACUUGAUCAACGGAACAAGUUACCCUAGGGAUAACAGCGCAAUCCUAUUUCAGAGUCCAUAUCGACAAUAGGG